AGUUUCUGAAAACAAUAAAUGAUCUCUUAAUAUAUGGACAUUAACUUUUAUUCAACUAAGUAUUUAGUUAAAUGGGAUUUUUUUAAAUUCUAAAAUUAGAGUACAAAGCAUUAUUUAUUACAUCCAUAGGACCCAUAUUGAAAUUCUACUUCAAAAAUUGAUGGUUAGACAAGCAAUCUUAUUUCGAUACUCUUUCAAUGUAAAUUUUUCAUUGAAUCCAUAGAUUCAAUAAUGAUUCAUUCAAUAAUGAUUCAUUCAUUCAUCUGCUGCAUCAGAGAAGAAGCAAAGACAAUAAACCAUUAUAUCUUACUAAAUAAAGUGCUUAAACAAACAAAACCCCUACUGUUAUUUUUCAGUCAAGUUACAUUUUAGUUCCCAUCUACUGAGAGGUUAAACCUAUCUUCAUCAUGAGCAUCCUUUCAUUAUCACAAUAAUCAAACACUUUAAUUGUAUCAUUUCUGCAAGCCAUCUGUCAAAGUUUUGCUAUGAAUGUAGCUGAGCUAUAGAAUUUUGAGGUCUGAAUUGUACCAGCUACGGGCUGCUUCAUCUCUAGUUCAUUUUCCUGGGGCACCACAGGCCAUUUUUCAAGCAGACAAUAAUCUACGUGACUAGAUCUUUGAUCAAAAGAGUCUGUCAGACAUGAUGACUAUUGUAGGUAACAGGGAAUAACUGAAAUGAACACAAACAGCCAUUCUCCUUGGCCCAUUUAAUCUUUCUUAAACUCAGACAAAUCUUCAUUGCAAUCUAUUUCCAAACCAUGUCUACUAUCAUCAUAUUCGGCAGUGCGAAGCUAUGGAAGCGCGAAACAACAGAUGCACUUGGGGAAAUGUGAAAAGCCCAGGGUAGUGAAGGAAGUGGAGGGCACCUGAGGUGGGGUAGAGAGAGAUGAGUUUGAAAAGGUCAUCAAAAGCUAUGCACUGUGGAUCUUAUGUGAUAAAGAAAGGGAGACAGUCAUUUAAGAAUUUUGCCAGGAAAGUGACAUGAUUGGACAUGCAUUUUUAAAAGGUUAGUCUAAUCGUUUUCUCCAUUUAGUGCAGCCAAAAAAAGAAGAAAAAAAAAAAAAAAAAAAAAAAAAAACCUUUGUAUUUUGGAAUAAUUAUAGGUUUAUAAAAACUUGUAGAGUUAGUACAGUAAGUUCUAUAUACCUCUUUUUUAAUUUCCUAUUUUGUUAAUAUCUUCAGCUACUAUAGUACAUUUAUCAAAACUAACAUUAGUGCAUUACUAUUAACUAAAUUCCUGACUUCAUUUAAAUGUUACCAUGUAUGUCCUUUUUGGUGUGUAUGCCAGGAUCUAAAUGAGUAUAUUGCUUGGCUUAAUUUGUUAUGUCUUUUUCUUGAGUGUCCCCUGGUAUGUGAAGUUAUUCAGGGUUUCUUUGUUACUAUGACCUUGAAAGUUAUAGGAGUACUGACCAAUCAGAUAUUUUAUAGAAUGCCCACUGAUUUGGGUUUUGCUGAUAGUUUUCUUGUGAUUAGAUCAGAAUUAUGCCUUUUUAAAAAGAAUAUCACAAAGUGCACUUAUCUCAGGAAUACAUGAUAUUCACAUGACAUCACUGGGGAUUAUAAACAUUAUCACAUGGUUGGCACAGCAUGUACCAGGUUCUUCCACUGUAAAAUUACUAUUAUUUUUCUUUCCCUACUGAAUUCAUUGGAGUCAAUCAUAUACCUAGUCCUGGUCCAAAGUCAGUAAAGGAAAGGUAAAGCUCUACUCCCUGAAUGAGGAAUAUAUCCAUAUACUAUGUUUUUUUGUUUUCUGCUUUUUAUACCUACACCUGCAGCAUAUGGAAGUUCUCAGGCUAGGGAUCGAAUCAGAGCUGCAGUUGCCAGCCUACACAACAACUACAGCAACAUCGGAUUUGAGCUGCUUCUGCAACCUAUGCCACAGUUUGUAGCAAUGCCAGAUCCUUAACCUACUAAGCGAGGCCAGAGAUCAAACCCAUAUCCUCAUGGAUACUAGCCAGGUUCUUAACCUCCUGAGCCACAACAGGAGCUCCUACAUAUACUAUUUGAAAUUCUUCUGUAAGGAAACUUUGUCUUUUCUUAGGAAGCACUUUUUGCUAUCACAGUGACUGAAGAUAUUACUAAUAUUUGUUGGGCAGGAUACAAGGAAGCUAAGGGUCCUGCAAUUUUGGAGUCAUUUCUGUGCAAUGAAGAGUUGCAUGUCCCUAAACACCAGUAGCUCUUCUUUAGUGAAGUUCUCUAGUACAUGCAUUAUCAAUGGAGGUGAUGACAUUGCUAAGGGUAUGAAAAUUGAUUCUUUGGGACAGAAAAAAAUCUUCCUCUUGUUGUGCAUAAAGCACAAAUACAGGAAUAGUAAAAUAAUAGAUAUUUAGUAUAUAUAUAAUACCUGUGGCAUUAAAAUUUCAUGGAGGAUGAUCAGGAAAAUGUCCAAAAAUAUUCCUGGGUAUUGAUAAUAAUUUAAAAAAAAGAUUGAGAAACAUUGGUUUAGCUAAUGUGUAGCAAAUGAGUUGAAAUGCAUAAGAGGAAGGUUUGAGCAAGGAACAACGAGGAAAGAAAUCAACAGGGAAGGGAAAAGAAAUCAACAGGGAAAUUAUUUCAGUUGACCUCCAGAUCAAGCAAAUUAUGGAAUUUCUACUUUUGUUUAGAAUUGAUUUAUAUGCGAUUUUUGGAUUAUUAUCUUUGAAAAAUUAGUCACAAGUCACAUAAGGCAUAAAGUUAUUUAACAUAUUUCAGGGAAAAUUAUACUUACAUGAUUUCUUUCCAAAGCCAACAAAAUUUUACAGUGUAUUGCUUAUCUAUAACAGCAUUCCUUACACCUUCCCACUUUCUGAUCAUAACUUCCUUCUAGCUUCAUGGAUAUUUUCUGAAUAGCUGAAGUUCCUGAGUCACUGGACCCUGGAAAAUAAUGGAGUGACCAUUGUACAUUAUGACUUUUUCUGGGUUAAUUCUGAUAGCAAUCCUUGAGAUAGAGCUUCAAGAUCUUGUACAUUUUUUUAAGAAAAAUUUGAGGGUAAGGAAUAAAAUUUAAAUUUUUUGAUGGAAAAGGUGGAGAAGAGUGCAAUUCAAUCAGUUGUUUAUCUUCUUUUAAUCUCAUCUUGCUGUAAUAAGUGCUUAGAAACUCUGGGAAAUAAAGAGUAUAAAGAAUAAAAUACAUCAUGCAUAUAAUUUUAUUGGUGCUUUAGUACUUUGCUAACCAAUAUUUUCCAUGACUUAAAUAUAUUUUCCUCUUUUAUAAAGUUUAUGUUUUAAUAACUAUAAUAUCACAGUAUUUAGAGUAUUUGUAUAUAUUUUUUCAAUCAAACUUCCUCUCUCUUCCUAGUCAUUAGUCAAUUUCUUUACACUCAAAUAGCCUCAGCUUAAUAUCACUUGUCUUCUUUUAUGAGCAACUCUAUCAUUCUUCCUAUUCCUCCUUCAUGACCUUUAGCUAUGUGAAUUAUCUAAGGCUGCCCUUUCAGCAGCAUUCUUCCAUGGACAAAGCACAGAGAACAGUUUAAAAAAAGUUCAGUGAGUCUUAUUUAGUACAAUAUGAAACUUUGAAUGAUUAUGGAAAUGAGUAGUUAUAUUUAAUGCAUCUCACAGUCAGAUAUGUGUAUACAUUAUGACACCAAAAUAGAGGUCUGAAAUGAGUUCAAGGACCCCAGUCAGGAUUUAUGACUUCCUAGGGUAUUGAAGUAAGUAGGAAAUUAGAUUGCCAAACUACUGAUCUUUGAAGAAUAAUAGUGAAUGGGAGAGAAACCAGGAGACUGAAGACAGGAAAUUGAUCCUAGUUUUCAAAAAGACAAGGAAGUUAUAUUCCUUCAACAGUGAGCAUGGCAGCCAUACUCGAUGAUGUUGACAUUUGUGUCCUGCGUGACUACUUCAUCUCCAUCCCUACUUCCUAAAGCUAUUACAUGUUUUUCUUUCUCGUCUGUCCUCUUUCUGAAUCUCAGGUCAUCUCAUUUGGUGGUCCUAGUGGUGGUUGUAGUGGGAGUUAACCCAACCACUGUGCCUGUAGAUGAGUUCCUAGGGACUUAAGACAAUCAGCCUAUUGUACUUCCCUGGUCCUAGUGAUUUGUUGAUGUGUGGAAGCAUCAGACACACUUUGAUCCAUGAGAGGUAGGGCUAGAACUUGUUUUAUUCAUGGGGAGAGGAUAGCUCCUCUCAGCAUGAAAGCCUUUGGACCUAAGAGAAUAUGAGAUCGGCAGGUGCUGAGGGUUGAAUGUUGCCUAUAGAAAAGAUCAGUGUGGAUAAUGAAGCUAAUCAACAUGAUGGAACAGGCAGUGGAGGAGAAUCCUAUCUUCAUGGGAGUCUUGUAAUCUGACCAGGGCUGAAGACAGACCAACUCUUCAAAUGUUAAUAUAUGUAAUUUUGAAAUCCUUCAGUUGCUUUUAUUUUUCCCCUUGCUUCUGUUACUUUAUGUUCUCUGCUUGCUUUGGAGUUUUUUGUUUUUUUGUUUUUUUCUUAUUAUUAUCCUUUUUUUAAAACAUUCUUUAAAAACAAUAAAUCUUGUGGUUCCUUUAUGAUGCAGUGAGUUAAGAAUCUGGCAUUGUCACUUAGCAGCUUGGUCACUGCUGUGGUGAGGGUUUGAUCCCUGGCCCAGGAAUUUCCACAUGGCUUGAACACAGGAAAAAAAAAAUCUUGCUAUACUCAGGAAUAUUCUUCUUUAGUAAUAUGACCAAUAUCAGUGAUAAUCUUUAUGCUGAUGACUCCCAGAUAUUUAUUUCCAGUACCCUAAUUGACAGAUAUCUUUUGAUUCAUCUACCUGAGUAUGCUUCAGAAUAUUUUAUCUACUCCCAAUGGUGACACUGUCUCCUCUAAUCUCAAUUUCAGUUAAUAGACUCACCAUCCACCUAUUUUUUCUCAGUACCACUUGUAAUAACCUUGAUAUAUCUGUUUUCACCCCUAAUCCUGUCUUUUAUCACAUUAGACCAUUUAUUCUCAAAAUUAGCAGCAUAUAUUAGACCUACCUGAGGCACCUGUACAUUCAAGUUGGGAAUGGUUUGGAUUGGGGUUCAGAAAUAGGUGUUUUUUUAUCAAGCUCCUCAGGUGAUUCUCAGGUUGUUGGCAGACCAUAUUAUGAGAAAACAUUUAGAUCAUAAAAUUAUUUGGGACAAAGGUCAUGACUCAUUACAUUUGCAUCCCUAACAUUUUGAAAAAUACUUAAUAUAUAGUAACUGAUAAAAAUGCUGGAAAAAUGAAUGAAUCCUCAAGACAACAAAGUUAGACAUGUCCAUAAUUUGGCCCUUUUCCUCGUUAAAUCUGCCACGGCUUUAGUUGUUUAAGAAUUAAUCUAUGACAUUAAACAAUAAAAUUUCUGAGUGAUGUCUAAACAUUGUUAAAUAUAAGCUCACAUUACUUUUAUGAGACAAAACAAAAAGUUUGAAGAACCAGUUUUCACUCUCAAAAGUAUAUCCCUGGAGUUCCCACUGUGGUGCAAUGGGAUGGGUGCUGUCUUGGGACCACUGGGCACAGCUUCGAUCCCCAGCCCAGCAUAGUGUUAGGGAUCCAAUAUUGCUGCAGCUGCAGCUUAGGUCAUAACUGCAGCUAGAAUCUGAUCCUUGACCCCAGAACUCCAUAUACCAAGGGAAG
rnacentral:lncRNA from 1 species